UACGUAGGGUGCAAGCGUUGUCCGGAAUUAUUGGGCGUAAAGAGCUCGUAGGCGGUCUGUCGCGUCUGCUGUGAAAACUCAGGGCUUAACCCUGAGCUUGCAGUGGGUACGGGCAGACUAGAGUGCGGUAGGGGAGACUGGAAUUCCUGGUGUAGCGGUGAAAUGCGUAGAUAUCUGGAGGAACACCGGUGGCGAAGGCGGCAUCCUGGACCAAUAUUGACGCUGAGGAGCGAAAGCCAGGGGAGCAAACGGG
rnacentral:rRNA from 1 species